GCUGAGUGGAUGGGUCUGCAGACAGGGCAGAUCUCAUCUCCUGGAAACAGAAUGGAUUUUAAAGAAAAUGCCUCAAUUUUCUACUCUCUCAGACUCAGCUCAGACAGGGAAUGGUUUUGUUCCGCCAACCAUGGUGAGCGAUAGAGACAGAAGCCUGAAACAGGAGGGGAACAUUCAGCAAAGACAAAUGUUCCAUAUUUUGAACAGAAGAAGUGGAUUCCUCAGUCUGAGGGGAAAGAAAAGCCAUCUAAUGGUUGCAGGAAAAUCAAAUAUCAAAUCAAGUGAUGCUGUCAUAUCUUCAUGAGGCUCAGAGGAACAGCUGGAACCAAGAGGCAGACUAACCUGCAUUCAUCAAGAUCUUCAGUGAGAAACUGGAGAGAAAUACACUGAAACUUCUACUCCCUCUUUCUUUACCACUCUGAAUACUUCUGUGUUUUGUAUUACUCUGCUUCUAGCAGUGCAGGAGAUAGACCAUAGAAUGAUUUGUACCAGCCGGACGGUUUUCUUUUCCCUCUUGGCAGGAGCCAGGACAGCAUCAAGAGUAGGCGCAAGAUAAUUUUCUUUUUUUUGCUUGUUACUGUUUA